AAUGAACGUUGGCGGCGUGGAUUAGGCAUGCAAGUCGAGCGAGAAAUGUAGCAAUACACGGACAGCGGCGAAAGGGAUAGUAACGCGUAGGUACGUACCCCCGGGACUGGGAUAGCGGCGGGAAACUGCCAUUAAUACCAGAUAACGUCCCCGGACCAAAGGUGUGAUUCCGCCUGGGGAGCGACCUGCGUCCUAUCAGCUUGUUGGUGAGGUAAUGGCUCACCAAGGCGACGACGGGUAGCGGGUGUGAGAGCACGACCCGCAUCACUGGGACUGAGACACUGCCCAGACACCUACGGGUGGCUGCAGUCGAGAAUCUUCCGCAAUGGGCGCAAGCCUGACGGAGCGACGCCGCGUGCGGGAUGAAGGCCUUCGGGUUGUAAACCGCUGUCAGUGGGGAGGAAAUGCACGGGGGUUCUCCCUCGUGUUUGACCGAUCCGCAGAGGAAGCACAGGCUAAGUUCGUGCCAGCCGCCGCCGUAACAC
rnacentral:rRNA from 1 species